rnacentral:rRNA from 1 species
CCAAUAGCGUAUAUUAAAGUUGUUGCAGUUAAAAAGCUCGUAGUUGAAUUUCGGGAUCAAUAUGUCGGUCGUGCCUUCGGUACGUACUGGUAUCAUUGGUUUCUCCUUUCUGACGAACCAUGAUGUCAUUAAUUUGGUGUUAUGGGGAGUUAGGACUGUUACUUUGACAAAAUUAGAGUGUUUAAAGCAGGCUUUAGCUUGAAUACAUUAGCAUGGAAUAAUGAAAUAGGACGUUCGAACCUAUUUUGUUGGUUUCUAGGAUCAACGUAAUGAUUAAUAGGGAUAGUUGGGGGCAUUAGUAUUCAAUUGUCAGAGGUGAAAUUCUUGGAUUUAUUGAAGACUAACUACUGCGAAAGCAUUUGCCAAGGAUGUUUUCAUUAAUCAAGAACGAAAGUUAGGGGAUCGAAGACGAUCAGAUACCGUCGUAGUCUUAACCAUAAACUAUGCCGACUAGGGAUCGAAUGAUGUUAAUUUUUUAAUGACUCAUUCGGCGCCUUACG